AUACGGAGGGUGCAAGCGUUAUUCGGAAUCACUGGGCGUAAAGGACGCGUAGGCGGGUUGGCAAGUCAGAUGUGAAAUCCUACAGUUUAACUGUAGAACUGCAUUUGAAACUGCCGACCUAGAGUAUGGGAGGGGGAGAUGGAAUUAGUGGUGUAGGGGUAAAAUCCGUAGAUAUCACUAGGAAUACCGAAAGCGAAGGCGAUCUCCUGGAACAUAACUGACGCUAAGGCGUGAAAGCGUGGGGAGCAAACAGGAUUAGAAACCCUAGUAGUCC
rnacentral:rRNA from 1 species